rnacentral:rRNA from 1 species
ACCAUGCAAGUCGAACGAGAACAGAAGAGAGCUUGCUCUCUUGCUGCUAAGUGGNNGCAAGGGUGAGUAAUAUAUAGGUAAUAUGCCUCUUACUUAAGGGAUAAUUGUUGGAAACGACUUGUAAUACCUUAUAUGCCUUUUGAACAUAAGUUCGUAAAGGGAAAGAUUUAUCGGUAAGAGAUUAGCCUGUACGGUAUCAGAUAGUUGGUGGGGUAAUGGCCUACCAAGUCUAUGACACCUAACUGGUUUGAGAGGAUGAUCAGUCACACUGGAACUGAGACACGGUCCAGACUCCUACGGGAGGCAGCAGUGGGGAAUAUUGCACAAUGGACGAAAGUCUGAUGCAGCAACGCCGCGUGGAGGAUGACACAUUUCGGUGCGUAAACUCCUUUUAUAUGAGAAGAUAAUGACGGUAUCAUAUGAAUAAGCACCGGCUAACUCCGUGCCAGCAGCCGCGGUAAUACGGGGGGUGCAAGCGUUACUCGGAAUCACUGGGCGUAAAGAGCAUGUAGGCGGGUGAAUAAGUUGGAAGUGAAAUCCUAUAGCUUAACUAUAGAACUGCUUCCAAAACUGUUCACCUAGAGUAUGGGAGAGGUAGAUGGAAUUUCUGGUGUAGGGGUAAAAUCCGUAGAGAUCAGAAGGAAUACCGAUUGCGAAGGCGAUCUACUGGAACAUUACUGACGCUCAGAUGCGAAAGCGUGGGGAGCAAACAGGAUUAGAUACCCUGGUAGUCCACGCCCUAAACGAUGUACACUAGUUGUUGCUAUACUAGAUAUGGCAGUAAUGCAGUUAACACUUUAAGUGUACCGCCUGGGGAGUACGGUCGCAAGAUUAAAAACUCAAAGGAAUA